rnacentral:tRNA from 1 species
GCCCGAAUGGUGGAAUUGGUAGACACGCUAGCUUCAGGUGCUAGUGGGCGAAAGCCCAUGCAAGUUCAAGUCUUGUUCCGGGCA